rnacentral:misc_RNA from 1 species
GAUGAAGAACGCAGCGAAAUGCGAUAAGUAAUGUGAAUUGCAGAAUUCAGUGAAUCAUCGAAUCUUUGAACGCACCUUGCACCCUUUGGCAUUCUGAAGGGUAUGCUCGUUUGAGUGUCAUUGUACUCUCACACUCCCGAUCUUUGCAUUGGGAGCAGUGGACUUGGGUUUGCUGCUUCACCGUCGCUUACCUCAAAUAGGUUAGUGCAACUCUUGGUUGGACAUAGUACGGCGUGAUAAGUGUUCUUCGCCGGUGCCUCGCAAAGAGGGUGGCCGAUCGGGAUUUUGUGCUCCAAACCGUCUUCGGACAAUCUCUGACGACUUGACCUCAAAUCGAGUAAGACUACCCGCUGAACUUAAGCAUAUCAAUAAGCGGAGGA